GAGGGAGGCGGGGCACCUCGCUUCGCGGCGGCUUCAUCUUCUUCCCGCGAGAGGAAACCCUCGUCGUCGCCUCCUCCCCCAAUCCCCUCCCUAGCUCUUGCCCCGAUCGUCGAUCCACGCCUCGCCGGAGAAUCCCCGAGCCGCGCCGCCCCUUCCUUCCUUCCUUCCUCCUCGCCCGCGCCGUACCCAGAUCAUCCUCGAGCUCAGAUCCCGCUCCUCCACUCCACAUCGAUCGGUCAUGGCCGCCGCACCAGCACCAGCGCUAGCCCCCGACGCCGCCGCACUCCAGCUGCAGAAUCCGGACAAAAUUUACAAAGUGCUACCGAGAUCCUGUCUGUCUCGAUCCCUGGUGUUGGUCCCCUUGGUGCUUGGAUCAGGAUGUGGUUUGGUUAUUCGCCGCAGUUGGUUUUCUUGUUAAUAUGUAUUCGGAAUUCGUGGCUAUAUCGGAAGGUGUUGUCGCCGGAUCUGUGGUUCACUCAGAAUGAAUUGGCUAUAAGGACAUUUAUUAUUGAUAUUGAGCAUGUAGGUGACAGGACCUAUCACACUUUAAUGAGAAGCAUUCAUGAGUACAAUUUGCAGAACUCUCCAUUCACGUGCCUCAAUGCUGCGGUAACACCAGCUGGUGGAUAUCAUAUAAUCUUAUUGUACAAGGGACAAAAGUCUGUUAGGCUGCUCUUCAGGGACUCGGACGGAUAUCUUGUUGCUGUUGAAGAUGACUUGGGUUCUUGGUACGGUUCAAAGAUAUACCAGAGCUACCAUUCAUUAAUUCAGCUGAAAUGAAAAUGGAAUCAGGCUAUGGAGACAUGGAGACGAGUGAAAAACCAGUCACCGUGGGCCCGAAAGCUUUGAAUGAUCUCUUCUAUCGUCUUUUGAAGUAUGACAACAAUGCAACCCUUGGCAGUCAGACUCUUGAAUUGCAAAUGAAAGCACUGUACCGAGCAUGCUUAAUGUUUGGUGAGGGUCCGAGAAUCCGUCAUGUAAGAAGGUUUGUGUCUAAAAGAUUCAAGGUAUUCAUGGAUCUGGAGUUUCCAAGUGAUCUGUGGAAGCUUAUCCACAACUGGGGCCAUGUGUCUAAGUACAUCAUCUUCUGCUACGACAACAACAUGCUAGAGGCACCACAAGUGGACAAUGCUGAGUACAUGUCACUCAUGAGGAUUAUGUCUUUCAUCGAGAUCCAGGGUCAAAGAAUCAUCUACACCCCCACAGAUGCAGCUGGACCAGGUGGGGCCCUCCUCCUGGUGAAGGCAAAUUAAUCAUUCGCUCGGGCUUCAUGUUGCACGAAUUGUGUAACCACGUCAACCAAAGCCAUACCGCACGCGACAACACUGCACAGUUCGCACUGCAGCCUGACCUGAAGUUCAUGAACUGCAUUUAUGGCCAGGAAACUGUAUAUGAAAGUUAAACUGUUUUGAACUAGAGUUGCUUGUUUUCGAUGGUUUGGAUGUGAAGUGCACCACUUGCUAUGUUCUACCACGUUAGUGUAGCACCAGUCCAGUGAUAUGGAUCAUCAAUGUUUGAUCCUGCUCCCUCUAAACCAUAUUGGUGUUUGACCAUAUUUGAUUUUUCACAUCACUGCUACUUUGUGGAGUAUUCACUACCACGACCUGCGUAAAUUGUCAGGUUUACUCAGGCAUUGUAUGAUGCAACGAAUAAUGGUGUUCUUGUGCCCUCCUUGCUCGUCGAGUUGAGGUUAUAAUCCG
rnacentral:lncRNA from 1 species